GUUCAAUCUAGGGUUCUAGCAGUGUAAAGAUGCCAACACACAACUGAAAUAGGGCGGGGGCUCACCAACAGCAGCAAUGGAGCUGGAGCUGUGGCUCACAAUGGCAGACCUGGGAUGCUCUUAUCUACUGCUUGUAUUUCUGGAUUUUCUCUAAACGUUGGGUUCAAGAGAGGAUCAAGAAAAGAAAAGUCCAACAGGGAAUUACUAGCGAUCUCAAUCGAGCAAGGAGUCUGAGAGGUAGUUGAAUCAUUUUAGCAGCAGCAACAACAAGAGGUGAGUUUUGUAACUCAUGUAGUAUGACAAAUGAAGUUAUGCUUCUGUCUUCUUGGUUUUUCAAGCCAUAUUGUUUUCUUGUUUUUCCAACCA